GGAAGGGUGGCCGAGAGGCUGAAGGCACACGCUUGGAAAGCGUGCAUACCGCAAGGUAUCGCGGGUUCGAAUCCCGCCUCUUCCG
rnacentral:tRNA from 1 species